rnacentral:lncRNA from 1 species
CCAGUUGGUUCUUAUUCUUGGUGAUCUAAACUACCCUCUCUCCACCCUUUUUUUUUUUUUUUUUUUUUUGGCAUCAGCAGCAUUUCAAUCAAUGGUUUUUGAGAGUCUUCUUACACAAUGUAGGCGGUUCUGUGUUUUGGAAGAAGUGUCACAUUAGACUCCAGCCAACAGGGAGGGAGGACAGGAGGAAAGGUAUGGAGCCAGAGUGUGAUGGAACAACACUGAAAGCUUCAGGCACCGGCAGGAACAGGGACAGCCACCUCUCCAGUUUCCCCACUGACCCUGCAGAAAAUGAGUCAUGAUUUAUCUCCUCAAACUUCCUGGAAAAGCCAGCCAAGAGCUUAAAGUAGAUAAGAAGCUCCUUAUGGCCUACCUUUGUUAUUCAUUUACUUUAAAGGAAGAUGCAUCUUUAAGACAACAGCUUCUUUUGUCAGGUGUGGUGUUGAGUCUUUUAUAUCCCGUAUUAGGAACAGUGUACCUAUCAUUUUAGUCACGGCUUCCUGUGCACCACCAGGGCCUUAAAAUGCUGAGACAGAGUUAUGCACAGGUAUGUCAAUGUCAUAAACUAUGAAAAUAAAUGUGGCCAAGUUUUAAAGGCAAGUUAAGUGUCCACAGUCAAAGAAGGAAGGCGGCACUGCAUUGAGCUAAAUGGGGCAGAGUCAAAAUCCUGGGUUCUGGAACUGGCUUGGCCUCCAAGCAACCCAGCCUCCGAGCCUUAGUCCCACUUCUGCAAAGUAAUGCUGGUUAGUGAGAUAAUCUCCAAAGCUUUGAAGUAAGCUCCACUUGAGCUUCCACUUUCACAACUUCAAGGUCAACUCUGUACUUAGGAAAGACGAUCCACGGCUUCUGAGAGGGCAACAGGCUUGCAAGAUGAGGAGGUCCGGUUUCUGUCCAGGGAAAGCAUGCGGGCCCCAAAGACGUCUUUUUGUGUAGAUAGAGUGAGUGAGUCUACUACAACUUUUUAUUGUUUCUUUGCUCAUUUUGAUGUCCACAGAGCCCAGGUUUUCCACAGCGGACAUCCCCUUCCACACCACGGAAGCUUCUCCCUCUCCAGGUUGCUGGGGUGGGGCUAUGUCUCCCUGGGUGCCACACACCCUUUAAUGCUGAUGUCCCCAGGCUUUGCCCUCCCUUGCCUUUCGCUUUUCACCUAAGCAAACUAGGGGCAAAAUAUAGGUGAUUCUGACCAAUUCUGGGCACCUUAUUUUCAAAGAACCAAUGGGGAAGUCACUUGGUGAAUAUGUGCCAGACCCAGUCCUGGGCUCUUUCUAUGCUUUAUCUAAUUUAACCCACACACCCCCCUUAUGCAGUAGGUCCUCAUACCAACAAGUUUCUGAUAAGGAAACAGACUUGGAGAGGGUGAGUCAUUUGUUCAAGGUCACUCAGCUAGCAAGCAGCAGAAGGAACAUUUGAACCCAGGUCUCAUACCAUACAAAUCACCCUUUUUUUUUUUUUUGAGACAGAGUCUCACUCUGUUGACCAGACUGGAGUGCAGUGGCGCAGUCUCGGUUCACUGCAACCUCCAACUCCCAGGUUCAAGCAAUUUUCCUGCCUCAGCCUCCCGAGUAGCUGGGAUUACAGAUGUGUGCCACCAUGCUCGGCUAAUUUUUGUAUUUUUAGUAGAGCUGGGGUUUCUACAUGUUGGCCAGGCUGGUCUCGAACUCCUGACCAGCCUCCCAAAGUGCUGGGAUUACAGGCAUGAGCCACCCAUUUAAAGUAUACAGUUCAGUGGUUCUCAGUAUCUUCACGGAUAUGUGCAACCAUCACUCCAGUCAACUUGAGAAUAUUUCCAACACCUCAAAAAGAAACCUCAUCUCACCUUCCUAUCUCUCUACCCGCCAGUACCCCACUCCCAGGUAGGCAAGUACUACUCAAUUUUCUGUCUCUGUAGACUUCUCCAUUCUGGACUUUCACCUAAAUGGAUCAUACAGUGCAUGAUCUUUGCGACUGGCUUUUUUUUUU